UACAGAGGUCCCGAGCGUUGUUCGGAUUCACUGGGCGUAAAGGGUGCGUAGGCGGCGCGGUAAGUCGGGUGUGAAAUCUUGGAGCUUAACUCCGAAACUGCAUUCGAUACUGCCGUGCUUGAGGACUGGAGAGGAGACUGGAAUUUACGGUGUAGCGGUGAAAUGCGUAGAUAUCGUAAGGAAGACCAGUGGCGAAGGCGGGUCUCUGGACAGUUCCUGACGCUGAGGCACGAAGGUCAGGGGAGCAAACGGG
rnacentral:rRNA from 1 species